UUCCGCGUGUAGCAGUGAAAUGCGUAGAUAUGCGGAGGAACACCGAUGGCGAAGGCAAUCCCCUGGGCCUGCACUGACGCUCAUGCACGAAAGCGUGGGGAGCAAACAGGAUUAGAUACCGUGGUAGUCCACGCCCUAAACGAUGUCAACUGGUUGUUGGGAAUUUAUUUUCUCAGUAACGAAGCUAACGCGUGAAGUUGACCGCCUGGGGAGUACGGCCGCAAGGUUAAAACUCAAAGGAAUUGACGGGGACCCGCACAAGCGGUGGAUGAUGUUCUUUAAUUCGAUGCAACGCGAAAAACCUUACCCACCUUUGACAUGUAUGGAAUCCUUUAGAGAUGAAGGAGUGCUCGAAAGAGAGCCAUAACACAGGUGCUGCAUGGCUGUCGUCAGCUCGUGUCGUGAGAUGUUGGGUUAAGUCCCGCAACGAGCGCAACCCUUGCCAUUAGUUGCUACGAAAGGGCACUCUAAUGGGACUGCCGGUGACAAACCGGAGGAAGGUGGGGAUGACGUCAAGUCCUCAUGGCCCUUAUAGGUGGGGCUAGAAACGUCAUACAAUGGCCGGUACAAAGGGUAGCCAAGCCGCGAGGUGGAGCCAAUCCCAUAAAGCCGGUCGUAGUCCGGAUCGCAGUCUGCAACUCGACUGCGUGAAGUCGGAAUCGCUAGUAAUCGUGGAUCAGCAUGCCACGGUGAAUACGUUCCCGGGUCUUGUACACACCGCCCGUCACACCAUGGGAGCGGGUCUCGCCAGAAGUAGGUAGCCUAACCGCAAGGAGGGCGCUUACCACGGCGGGGUUCGUGACU
rnacentral:rRNA from 1 species